GUUAAAUGCAAUCGACCAGUAAUUAUAUAUAAUUAUUUUUUAGAUAUCGUUCUUUUCAUGUGUUUUUUCACGUAUAUAAAUAUCCCCUAUAUCAUAAGCCUUAAAUAUAAUUUUAAUAUUUUCACCAGAGUCAGCACCUGAACUCAACAAAACCUACCAACUUAUUAUUUUAAAGAGUGAAUUCUAUAACAAUGUCCAAGUUAACUGUUGUUCUAUUUUUGGUUACAUUGUUGGCGAUUGGCUCUUUUGCUUGCAUAGAACAUGGAAAAGAUUGUACUAUGGAUGGCGAACCAUGUUGCGGUCGCUAUUUUUGCAGAAAAAAUGAUUUUAAUUAUUUGACAUGUGGCUCGACCUCGGAGUCCUAUAAAGUACAGGAUUAUGGAGGUGACAUGUUUGGCUAAGUCUACUUUUCAAUUUUUUUAUUUCAGAUAUAAUAAUAUUUAUUAAUAUUGUAACGGUUAUCAUCUGAAUAAAAAUAAUUCCCACCAUAAAUAUCUCUAAGUUGUUUAUGUAUUUUAUAUUGUUUUCGGUUUUACUAUCUUUGGUAGCAUUGUCUAUACAAGAUUGUUUUGCUCAAGAUGUGGUAGUAAAGUUACUUACGCGUGCCUUGAGCGAGUCUUGCAACAGAAAUUACUUGCAGACACUAACGCAUAUUUUGCGGCAGAUCUGCGCAAGAAGUCUCAUAUACUAUACACAAUCUAUCUUUCUUCUGUCUCUGCCACUUUAUCCUCUCCAUUGGCAUACGGUACAGGAUCCUUAGGUAAAGUGACAGAAAUAGAAGUGAGAUAUGAAGUUGGUGUAAUAUGAAAAACUUGAUUGAUAUCGUUGUAAUCGUGUGUUUUUUUAUGUAUAUGAAUAUCACCUAUAUUAUAAGCCUCAAAUAUAAUUUUUAUAUAUUGACCAGAGUCAGCACUUGGACUCAGCAAAACCUACCAACUUAUUGUUAAAAAAAUGGAUUCUAUAACAAUGUCCAAGUUAACUGUUGUUCUAUUAUUGGUUACAUUGUUGGCGAUUGGCUCGUUUGCUUGCAUAGAUCAUGGAGAAGAUUGUACUAUGGAUGGCGAAAAAUGUUGUUCUCCCUAUUUUUGCAGAAAAAAUGAUUUCAACUAUUUGACAUGUGGCGCGACCGCCGAUUCCUUUGAAGUACAGGAUUGCGCAGGUGGCAUACUUGGCUAAGUCUACUUCUUAAUUUUUUUAUUUCAGAUAUAAUAAUAGUUAUUAAUAUUGUAAUGGUUAUCAUCUGAAUAAAAAUAAUUCCCACCA